UCCUACGGGGGGCAGCAGUGGGGAAUCUUGCGCAAUGGGCGAAAGCCUGACGCAGCGACGCCGCGUGAGGGAAGAAGGCCUUCGGGUUGUAAACCUCUUUCAGGAGGGACGAAGCCACUCGGGUGAAUAGCCCAGAGGGUGACGGUACCUCCAGAAGAAGCCCCGGCUAACUACGUGCCAGCAGCCGCGGUAAUACGUAGGGGGCAAGCGUUGUCCGGAUUUACUGGGCGUAAAGCGCGUGUAGGCGGCCGCACAGGUCCGUUGUGAAAACUGGAGGCUUAACCUUCAGACGUCGACGGAAACCGUGUGGCUAGAGUCCGGAAGAGGAGAGUGGAAUUCCUGGUGUAGCGGUGAAAUGCGCAGAUAUCAGGAAGAACACCAAUGGCGAAGGCAGCUCUCUGGGACGGUACUGACGCUGAGACGCGAAAGCGCGGGGAGCGAACAGGAUUAGAAACCCCAGUAGUCCU
rnacentral:rRNA from 1 species